rnacentral:ncRNA from 1 species
AUAAAUUUUUAUGAUUUAAAAAAAUUUAAUUUAAAUUUAUUUUACAUGUAAAUUUUAGUGUUAAUUUUUAAUUAUUUUAAUAAUAAUUAUUAAUAUUUGCAGUAAUUAAAAUUAAAAAUUUAAGAAACUAAGAUUUAGAAAUAUUUUGAUUAUUAACAAAUUUUGUGCCAGCAGUUGCGGUUAUACAAAAAAUAAUUUAAAUUUUAUCGGUAUAUAAUAAAUAAGAAUUAUUAUUUAAAUUAAAUAUUAAAUUAUUAAGUGAAAUUUUAAUUUAAUUAAAAUUUAUAUUAAUUUUAUGAUUUAUUAAAUUUUAUAAAAAACUAGGAUUAGAUACCCUACUAUUAAAAAUUAAAUUUAUAAUACUAAAAUAGUAGAUAAUAAUUUAUUGAAACUUAAAUAAUUUGGCGGUAUUUUAGUUCAUUUAGAGGAAUCUGUUUAAUAAUUGAUAAUCCACGAAUAAAUUUACUUAAUUUAUUAUUUUGUAUAUCGUUGUUAAAAAAAUAUUUUUUAAUAAAAAUAAUAUUUAAAAAUUUUUAUAUAAAAUUAAUUCAGAUCAAGAUGCAGAUUAUAAUUAAGAAUAUAAUGGAUUACAAUAAAUAAAUUUAAAUGAAUAAUAUUUUUUAAUAAAUAUUUGAAGGUGGAUUUAAAUGUAAUUUUAAUUAAUUUAUUAAAAUGAUUAUAUAUUAAAAUAUGUACAUAUUGCCCGUCGCUUUCAUUAAUAAAUUGGAAUAAGUCGUAACAAAGUAGAGGUACUGGAAAGUGUUUCUAGAAAGAA